GCCAGGGCGGUGCGGCCGCGGCGGCGCUUACGGCGCUUGCGCCGCCGGGGCGGCUGCCCUGGCCGGCGCUGCGGCCGGUACGGCUCCGGCUCGUCGCC
rnacentral:tRNA from 1 species